UACGGAGGGUGCAAGCGUUGUUCGGAAUCAUUGGGCGUAAAGCGCGUGUAGGCGGCUAGCUAAGUCUGGUGUGAAAUCCCGGGGCUCAACCCCGGAAGUGCACUGGAUACUGGUUGGCUAGAGAUCGAGAGGGGGAAGCGGAAUUCCUGGUGUAGGGGUGAAAUCCGUAGAUAUCAGGAGGAACACCGGAGGCGAAGGCGGCUUCCUGGCUCGAUACUGACGCUGAGACGCGAAAGCGUGGGGAGCAAACAGG
rnacentral:rRNA from 1 species